rnacentral:rRNA from 1 species
AGGGUAAACGCUGGCGGCGUGCCUAAAACAUGCAAGUCGCACGAGAGCUUCGGCUCGAGUGGCAGACGGCUGAGUAACGCGUGGGUGACGUACCUAUCGAUGGGGAAUAACUGCCCGAAAGGGUGGCUAAUACCGCAUACGCCUGUCUGUUCGUACGGAUAGGGAAAGCCGCAAGGCGUCGAUGGAGCGGCCCGCGUCCGAUUAGCCAGUUGGUGGGGUAACGGCCUACCAAAGCGACGAUCGGUAGCUGGUCUCAGAGGAUGAUCAGCCAGACUGGGACUGAGACACGGCCCAGACUCCUACGGGAGGCAGCAGUUAGGAAUUUUGGGCAAUGGGCGCAAGCCUGACCCAGCAACGCCGCGUGGGUGACGAAGGCCUUCGGGUUGUAAAGCCCUUUUGAGGGGAAGAUGAUGACGGUACCCUCCGAAGAAGCACCGGCUAACUACGCGCCAGCAGCCGC